CGCCUCUUGUAAGAGGUCCAGCCUGCCCAGUGAUUAACGGCCGCGGUACCCUAACCGCGCGAAGGUAGCAUAAUCACUUGUUCCUUAAAUAGGGACUAGUAUCAACGGCAUCACGAGGGUUCUACUGUCUCCUCUCUCUAAUCAGUGAAAUUGUGAAGAAGCGGGGAUAAUGUUAUAAGACGAGAAGACCCCAUGGAGCUUUAAAGGUUUUGGGUUGGGGUGACCACGGAGUAAAAAUUAACCUCCUAUUCAAGAAUUACCCUUCAAAUUAGUACACUAACGAUCCGAUCAACGGACCAAGUUACCCUGGGGAUAACAGCGCAAUCUACUUCGAGAGCCCAUAUCGACAAGUAGGCUUACGACCUCGAUGUUGGAUCAGGUAUCCCAGUGGUGCCUAGUUGU
rnacentral:rRNA from 1 species